GACGAACGCUGGCGGCGUGCUUAACACAUGCAAGUCGAGCGGUAAGGCAUCUUCGGGUGUACACGAGCGGCGAACGGGUGAGUAACACGUGAGUAAUCUGCCCUUCACUUCGGGAUAAGCCUCAGAAAUGGGGUCUAAUACCGGAUACGACAUCUCCGUGCAUGCGGUGGGUGUGGAAAGGUUUUUUCCGGUGGGGGAUGUGCUCGCGGCCUAUCAGCUUGAUGGUGGGGUAAUGGCCUACCAUGGCUUCGACGGGUAGCCGGCCUGAGAGGGUGACCGGUCACACUGGGACUGAGACACGGCCCAGACUCCUACGGGAGGCUG
rnacentral:rRNA from 1 species